GUUGUAUAGUUAAGUGACUAAGCGUACACGGUGGAUGCCUAGGCGGUAGAAGGCGACGAAGGACGUAGUAACUUGCGAUAAGCCACGGGGAGUGAGUAAACACGCUUUGAUCCGUGGAUUUCCGAAUGGGAAAACCCAUCCUUAUUAAGGAUAUCCCUAUAUGGGAGGCUAACCUGGAGAACUGAAACAUCUAAGUACCCAGAGGAAAAGAAAUCAACCGAGAUUCCCCAAGUAGCGGCGAGCGAACGGGGACCAGCCCUAAAGCAUUUAUUAAGAUAGCAGAACACUCUGGAAAGAGUGACGACACAAGGUGAUAGUCCUGUAUGCGAAAUCUUAUUAAGUGUUAUUCGAGUAGGACGGAACACGUGAAAUUCUGUCUGAACAUGGGGGGACCACCCUCCAAGGCUAAAUACUCUCUACCGACCGAUAGUGAACCAGUACCGUGAGGGAAAGGCGAAAAGAACCCCAGAAGGGGAGUGAAAUAGAACCUGAAACCGUGUACGUACAAGCAGUAGGAGCCCCUCAUUAAAGCAUCUUUGCUUUAGUGAGGAAAAGUUAAAUCUUAACUUAACGCAUUAAAGAAAAAUAGCGAAGCAAUGGCAAAACAGGUUGGACUUAUAUUUUGACCCGUAGCGCAAUGUGCCUAAAAGCACAUGAGCAACGGAAGCAAAAUAAAAGUCCAAGAUGUACAGCCAAUGCAAGCGGAAGGUUCUUUAAUGAGGGGUGACUGCGUACCUUUUGUAUAAUGGGUCAGCGACUUACAUUAUGUAGCGAGGUUAACUGAAUAAGGGAGCCGAAGGGAAACCGAGUCUUAAAUGGGCGACUAGUUGCAUGGUGUAGACCCGAAACCGGGCGAUCUAUCCAUGGCCAGGUUGAAGGUGCCGUAACAGGUACUGGAGGACCGAACCCACGUAUGUUGAAAAAUGCGGGGAUGAGCUGUGGAUCGGAGUGAAAGGCUAAUCAAGCCCGGAGAUAGCUGGUUCUCCUCGAAAACUAUUUAGGUAGUGCCUCAUGUAUCACUGUUGGGGGUAGAGCACUGUUAUGGUCUAGCGGGCCGUCAAGGCUUAGCAGCCCAUUGCAAACUCCGAAUACCAACAAGUGCAAUCAUGGGAGACAGACAGCGGGUGCUAACGUCCGUUGUCAAGAGGGAAACAACCCAGACCACCAGCUAAGGUCCCUAAACACUACUCAGUGGGAAAGGAUGUGGGAAGGCUUAGACAGUCAGGAGGUUGGCUUAGAAGCAGCCACCCUUUAAAGAAAGCGUAAUAGCUCACUGAUCGAGUCGGCCUGCGCCGAAGAUUUAACGGGGCUAAGUAGUGUACCGAAGCUGUGGAUGCGUGCAUUCUCUUAAAAUUAUUUAUCAAGCUGUCGCAANNNNNNNNNAAUGGAUCGAGAGGUUUGGGAGGAGAUGAGUUGUUUUAAGUGAAUGCACGCAUGGUAGAGGAGCGUCGUGUAAGCCUGCGAAGGGGCUCUGUAAGGAGUCCUGGAGGUAUCACGAGUGCGAAUGCUGACAUGAGUAGCGAUAAAGGGAGUGAAAAGCUCCCUCGCCGAAAGACCAAGGUUUCCUACGCAACGCUAAUCGACGUAGGGUUAGUCGACCCCUAAGACGAGGCCGAAAGGCGUAGUCGAUGGGAAGCAGGUUAAUAUUCCUGCACUUUUUAUAACUGCGAUGGAGGGACGGAGAAGGCUAAACUAGCUUGCUGAUGGUUGCAAGUUUAAGGUAGUAGGCAGAGAUCUUAGGCAAAUCCGGGAUCUUAAUGCUGAGAACUGAUGACGAGUCCUGAAUUGGACGAAGUAGUUGAUGCCAUGCUUCCAAGAAAAGCUUCUAAGCUUCAGGUUAUAAAGAAUCGUACCCCAAACCAACACAGGUGGUCAGGAUGAGAAUUCCAAGGCGCUUGAGAGAACUCGGGUGAAGGAACUAGGCAAAAUAACACCGUAACUUCGGGAGAAGGUGUGCCCCUGAUGGUGAAGCACUUGCUGCGUAAGCUAUUAGGGGUUGCAGAGACCAGGUGGCUGCAACUGUUUACUAAAAACAUAGCACUGUGCAAAAUCGAAAGAUGACGUAUACGGUGUGACGCCUGCCCGGUGCCGGAAGGUUAAUUGAUGGGGUUAGCUUAUGCGAAGCUCUUGAUCGAAGCCCCGGUAAACGGCGGCCGUAACUAUAACGGUCCUAAGGUAGCGAAAUUCCUUGUCGGGUAAGUUCCGACCUG
rnacentral:rRNA from 1 species